rnacentral:rRNA from 1 species
GUCUACGGCCAUACCACCCUGAACGCGCCGGAUCUCGUCUGAUCUCGGAAGCUAAGCAGGGUCGGGCCUGGUUAGUACUUGGUUGGGAGCCCAGUGUCCUGGGAUCGAGCCC